rnacentral:rRNA from 1 species
GACGAACGCUGGCGGCGUGCUUAACACAUGCAAGUCGAACGGGAUCCGGGCUUUCGGGUUUGGUGAGAGUGGCGAACGGGUGAGUAACACGUGAGUAACCUGCCCCCUUCUUUGGGAUAACGUCGGGAAAUCGGCGCUAAUACUGGAUAUUCUUGCUGCAUCGCAUGGUGUGGUUUGGAAAGGGUUUCUGGUGGGGGAUGGGCUCGCGGCCUAUCAGCUUGUUGGUGGGGUGAUGGCCUACCAAGGCUUUGACGGGUAGCCGGCCUGAGAGGGUGUCCGGCCACACUGGGACUGAGACACGGCCCAGACUCCUACGGGAGGCAGCAGUGGGGAAUAUUGCACAAUGGGCGCAAGCCUGAUGCAGCGACGCCGCGUGAGGGAUGACGGCCUUCGGGUUGUAAACCUCUUUCAGUAUGGAACAAGGAUCCUUCUUUUGGGGGGUUUGAGGGUACGUGCAGAAGAAGCGCCGGCUAACUACGU